ACAAGAAUCUCCUAGGAAUCUUGUUAAUAUGCAGAGUCUGAUGUUGCAUGUCUUGUGUGGAACCUGAGAAACUGCAUUUCAGAACAGCUCCCAGGUGAUGCCAAU
rnacentral:pre_miRNA from 1 species